AGGCUCAAAGAUUUGGAAAGAGAGAGUUUAACAGAAAAGGAAUGCGUGAAGGAGAAAUGGAAUCUCUUGCCUGAAUUUCUGCAGACAGAAAUAAAGAAUCAGUUAUGUGACUUGGAAACCAAAUGACAUAAAGAAGAAUUAUCAGAGAUUUGUCCUUGGAGAAC